UGACAGACUAAUGCCUUAUAAUCUCUCUCUUCCUCUCAUGUUUCCUUUUCAACUCCGAUCCCCUACAUUACACACCCCUCGUUCAUGAUC